UUUUUCAAUUCAAUUCGUAUCCGGUCCAUCGUUAGCACCAGUCUGCCAUUCCCCAAUCGGGAUGCUGCUAGAGCUCAAUGACAUUUUUCUCCAAGCACAAACGGGGAUUGACAAUGGAAACUUGAAAUUUUGUAAGGGUAAUGGAUCGGUUAUUAAUACAUCAGUAGAAUUGUACUGUCGUGGCAUUUCUGCAAAAACUUUGCGGUCAAAUUACUUUGCCGAAACCUGUCAAAAGCACUGCAGCUUGGACCCUCGAUCGAGCUUCAAUACACGAAGACAUGGCUUCGACAACAGUUACGAAGUCGGCGAUCAUAGCAAAGUUGAAUCUGAAGCCGAAUCCGGAAGGAGGACUUUACUCGGAAACUUUCAGAGACACUUCGAUUAUUCUCUCCAAAACGCAUCUCCCUGCGCAGUCUUUGAUGCAGAUAAGGUGGAUCGGCCCGUCAGUACGUGCAUCUAUUACUUGCUGCCUUCUGGAAGAUUUUCCCACCUCCAUCGAAUCCCGUGUGCCGAAGUCUGGCAUUUUUACUUCGGGGAGCCUAUAACGGUGGUGGAGCUACAUGACGAUGACGGGAGCAUUGAAUUCACAUGCCUUGGACCGGAUCUUCUUGCUGAUGAUCAAGUAAUGCAGCAUAUAGUGCCGCCAAAUGUUUGGUUUGGCGCAUUCCCCACUAAGGACUUCGUAGUAUCAUCUGAACUUACACCUGUUAAAACAGCUUCAAGGAAUCCUGAAGAGCACUUCUCUCUUGUUGGAUGCACUUGCGCCCCUGCAUUCCAGUUCGAUGACUUUGAGAUGGCAGCUCGUACUGAGCUAAUCUCACGUUUUCCCAAUUUCGGAAUAUAGGUACUUCUGUGUGUAGCAAUGUUUCUUCUUGCAAAGCAUAGACCUCGAUAUCUGUCGGAGAAUUUGGAAUUAUGGCGACAUUUGAGGUAAGGUGUCCAAGAGCUUCUCCAUCAAUGACAUAUACUGCUUUUUUUUCGAUUCCCUGGAAAUGGUCGAAUCGAGAGGGACAUGCUUAUAGCCAUCUAAUAUUAUCUUCAGCUCUUUGUUGCCUUCUCCAAAUUCUUCUGAACCACUGUUUUCCAGGGAAUCGCGCGCCAUUCCCACCGGCUCCGGCCUGAUUGGAUUAUCCUUUCCGUGAAGAAUCCUGCUUUUGAUCCGACUAAAGAUCUGAAUCACCAAACCCCCGAACAAAAGGUCAGUAAGAAACAAUACAAUCAAAUCUUACCUGCUAUAUAUCAAUCCAUACCUUCAUCUUCUUAAAACUUCAAUAUCUCCGAAUCCCUCGACUACACUAAUGAAAAAAGUUCUAUCAGUUAUAAAUAACAUUGGCUCCCAGUCUAACAGGCUCUAGCAGCUCGAAAACAGGCUGUGUGACAUGACGGUGAUGAGGCCUGCCUAACAGUGGCUGGCAAUGGCAAUCAAGAAUGUCGACGGAUGUUUGUUUCAUUUCGAGGAUUUGUUUGUGGUUUUUAAGGCCGCAGUCCGAAAUUGUUAAUGCAGAAGGACAUUCGUACAUUCAUUGGAUGGAAAAGCAAAGACAUGGAAAUGGAGAUGCAAGUUUUAGGCAUGACUGGUUUGAACCACUCCUCCAUAAUUGGAUCAAAAAUAGGGAUAAGUUUGGUGAGGAUGAUAGAUUAUCAUUGAACAGAUUCUUUUGUGUUUAAUGAGUAAAGAAUGUGUGAAUCUGCAGCUGUUAGUUACUCUUCGAGUGUAUAUAUUGGAGAAAUUUUUAAUUGCUAGUAAAAUAAGUCAUAUUAGGCGAGUCCUGUGUACAAGACAAGCCUUGUGCUUUCUACUUUAUUUUGUCUAUUGGAGUUUCGAUUUUAUUUA